rnacentral:rRNA from 1 species
CAAUCAAUUGGCCCUUAAUUAGGGUCAGGUAUGAAUGGAGUUACGGGGCUUAGCUGUCUCUAAACUAUUUAUUUGAAGUUGCUAUAUAGGUGAAAAAGCCUAUAUUAAGAAAAAAGACGAGAAGACCCUUAGAGUUUUACUUAAAAAAGACCUAUUUUUUUCACUAGUUUUGUUGGGGCAACAUAGGAGAAAACUCAAACCUCCUAAAGAAUAUAAACCGAUAUUUUUAAAUGUGAAUAAACUACCUUAGGGAUAACAGCAUAAUUUUAAAAAUAAGUUUGUGACCUCGAUGUUGGACUAGGAAACUUAAGGGCUAGCCGCCUUUUUGGGAAGGUUCUGUUCGAACUAUAAUUUCCU